UUUGGUUAUUGAUAAAACAUUAUUAUCAGGAACUCAUUGGGAUAUUGAACAGCAUAACAAACAUAUUGUGUAUUGCCACCCUACAUGGAUAGGCAAUGACGCCACCCAGUGCCCCACCCUCUGCUACUAUUUUGUUCUAUUUCAUUUAGGAUGAAGGCUCCAUUGAAUGCCGGACCACGUGUCCGCAGCCAAUUUGUCGCAUCCCUCUGGCCCCUCACAUACUUCUUCAUCCCAGGUGAAGGCUCCUUAUCUGUCACAAAGCCACGUCAUUCCUCAUCCAGCAGAUGGUGUUUUCUCCCUUAAGGACCAAGGGCAACAGCAGGAGCCCUGUUCCCCAACCUGAUUUGAAAUUUAUGCUGAUGAAACAAGAGAGAUUUUAAUAUAUGAUGGAAGGAAGUUGGAUUAACAUUGAUCUUCCUGGAAGGUGAGAUCAUAAAGUGUUAAUGUAGAUUAUGGCCUAUAGGGAGAUAGGAGCAACAAGAGAGAAUGGCUCUACUGAUGCUAAUGUUUCUUUCAAUUCAUAUUUUAGGAUGAGUGCUCCAUCAUAAGCCAAUUUAACUGGUGAUCCUCUUUUGCUUGCCCCUGUACUACCAAGGCUCAGCUCUUCAUUCUUUAUGAAGCUUUCCUCGAACAGAGUGCACCUGCUGCCCCAGAGACCCAUUGUACAUUGUAUGACAACUCUGAUGCUCACAUUCAAUCAUUGGCCCCAUAAAGUUUGGCCUGGCCAUGAAAUCAUAAUCCCCUUUCCCUCUUCAGUGAGUAUUCAAGUUCUCUUUAAUAUUAGCUUGUGCAUACAUUAAGGAUGGUGUGUGGGAGAGGCUCUGUAAGAACUCAAAUGCAUAUAAGGAAUAGUGCUGCCACCUUCCUGAAAAUGCAGGACAGUUCUCUCAUUCCGGGCAUUGUAAGAAAGCUCCACCUUCUCUCUCUCACCUUGGGCACUGUCUGACCACUAAAUAGUCCCAGCAAUGACUCCACAUCUUAACAUCUAUAAUUAGUGAGAAUUGUCUUACUCUUCCCCCUCAUUUAUAUAGUUCCAAUGGUGCUUUACAGAGAAGGAUCGAGGCAAGAUCCCUGCUUGGAGACUCUACAAUCUCUGCAGACAAUGAACUGGUGAAAAAUGUAAAGCCCAUUAUUCCCCUCCCUAUAGUUCUUUGUCUGCUAUUCCUGCCUCCUCAACCACAGCAAAGAGUCUUCUAUUUAUUG
rnacentral:lncRNA from 1 species